ensembl:lncRNA
CAGUAACUCACCAGUGUUCCGGCCAGAAACACGACUUUCCAAAAUUGGAUCCUUUGUUCAUGCCCUCCAAGGCAAUUUAUCUUAUCCCAUAGGCAUCUCCAAGACGCCGCCAGCACAGAAGAGGUAUUUGGAGUGGACUUCUAGUCCGACUCAGGAGGCGUUCACACGAUCUACCACUUCUGAGGAUACAGUGCAUUUGGAAAGUGCAUCCCGUUUCCAUUGCUCAUCCUACAACCUGCUCGCAGACACAGACGUCUUGCUCCCGGACAAGCUAAACACCUUUGCCCCCAUUGAGGAUAACACAGUGCCACCGACGUGGGCCGCUCCCGAGGACUGUGGGCUUUCAUUCUCCGAGGCCGACUCUGCUGUCCCCACUUGCUUCAAGAUGUCCACCAUUGUUCCUUUACCCAAGACAGCAAAGGUACAAUUGAAACCAGGAUUCAUCCGUGAAGAGCACACUUCUACAGCGUGCCAGUGGCCAUCGAAGGGGUCAGAUGAGGAAGGCUAGCUCAUUAUGCCAUUCUGUGUCAGCCUGUUUCCAGCUCAGUGCGGUCAUCUGAGGUUCAUCACAGCCAUCUCCACAGGAACGAGCCCAAUCUGCCCAAUCUGGACAAACUAUAAAUACGAAUCCACAGUUGUCUUUGGGUGCUUCGCCAAUCAAGAUGAGCGCUAGGCAGUGCUGUAGAAAGGGCUCAGGGCUAUAGUUAAAUAAGCCAGAGUUGGUAAGGGGAUGAAGGAAGCAUGUUAGCUGGGCUAAAUCUGACUUACUAGGCAGCUAAUGCCAUUGUGAACAGUGUUAAGUCCACUGUGUCUCUCUCGCCGCAUAACUGAGUUACAGGUAAGGUCAAGUUUAAGCUCCUCUACAGAGAUUUGCAGUAAUGUAUGGUAAUUCCAUUAUAGAGUGGAGGAGGGUUAUCCCUAUUAAAUAAUACUGAGCCAGACUUGGGGCACCGACGUUGUUACUCAAGGCUGACUGUACUGUCAUUAUCUGUGCUGGUCUAUUCUCUUCCUAAACUGUUACUCUACUUGUUUGAUUCACCAGGUUUUAAACCCAGGCCUCAAGAAACUGUUAGAGCUAAAGCCUCCACUCAACAAUGGUCAUGAACUUGUAAAAUGGCGUAAGAUGUGUAAGAUGGCACCGAUAGACAUGGCCGUCUUGUUUCUGGCUCUGAGGCAACUUUGCAGUAUUUUACAUUUUUUCAAUGUUAUUUCUCACGUUAUUGCAAGUAUUUCGCUACACCCGCAAUAACAUAUACUAAACAUCUGUAUGUGACCAAUAAAAUGUAUUUGAUUUUUAACUUUAGGGGAGAGCUAGCGUAAUAUUGGGCUGCAAACUCAAAUUGAAUAAAUGUCAACACUAUAUCUGA